CGGAUCUCUUACACCUCCGCUGAAAGCUUCUACCUCUCCCUCACGAGCCGCCCUUACUACAACCUGUGCCCUAAGCACCGCUAUCUCCUCCCUGUGCCCUAGCCGGUCUACCCAGCCGUCUCCUUCUUUGAGUCGCUAGCCGAAGUACUAGCAACAUCUCCUGGUCGCAGAGUUCCGGUUUUGUUCUCAGCAAUAACUUCAUUGUAGCUCCGGUUGAUCAUCCGGAUUGAGGACUCUGGUUCGUGACGAGCACUUCGACGUGGAGAUUGUCUAGCUCGAUCUACA